rnacentral:lncRNA from 1 species
UAAAAUCAAGUUAGGUUCCAGAUUUUACCUCCUUCUCAUAUGGAAUGAGGCACAAGUUUGCAACUUCUUGACUUUCCUCAUUGGAGGUACUAUCUUCACUAUUGCUCCGCAUUGCUAUCAUAGCUUUCUUCUUUGGCUUCUUCGGGAUCUUCUUGAGUUGAGGAUAGUCCGUCUUGAAUUGUACCAACUUCUUGCACUCAUAGCACACCAGUAGCUCCCUCUUUUUCUCUUUGGUCCACUCCUCUUUGACCAUCGCCUUCCUCGUUCCUUAUUUCUUCCUC